GGGACACGUGGUAUCCUGUCUGAAUAUGGGGGGACCAUCCUCCAAGGCUAAAUACUCCUGACUGACCGAUAGUGAACCAGUACCGUGAGGGAAAGGCGAAAAGAACCCCGGCGAGGGGAGUGAAAAAGAACCUGAAACCGUGUACGUACAAGCAGUGGGAGCACGCUUAGGCGUGUGACUGCGUACCUUUUGUAUAAUGGGUCAGCGACUUAUAUUCUGUAGCAAGGUUAACCGAAUAGGGGAGCCGAAGGGAAACCGAGUCUUAACUGGGCGUUAAGUUGCAGGGUAUAGACCCGAAACCCGGUGAUCUAGCCAUGGGCAGGUUGAAGGUUGGGUAACACUAACUGGAGGACCGAACCGACUAAUGUUGAAAAAUUAGCGGAUGACUUGUGGCUGGGGGUGAAAGGCCAAUCAAACCGGGAGAUAGCUGGUUCUCCCCGAAAGCUAUUUAGGUAGCGCCUCGUGAAUUCAUCUCCGGGGGUAGAGCACUGUUUCGGCAAGGGGGUCAUCCCGACUUACCAACCCGAUGCAAACUGCGAAUACCGGAGAAUGUUAUCACGGGAGACACACGGCGGGUGCUAACGUCCGUCGUGAAGAGGGAAACAACCCAGACCGCCAGCUAAGGUCCCAAAGUCAUGGUUAAGUGGGAAACGAUGUGGGAAGGCCCAGACAGCCAGGAUGUUGGCUUAGAAGCAGCCAUCAUUUAAAGAAAGCGUAAUAGCUCACUGGUCGAGUCGGCCUGCGCGGAAGAUGUAACGGGGCUAAACCAUGCACCGAAGCUGCGGCAGCGACACUAUGUGUUGUUGGGUAGGGGAGCGUUCUGUA
rnacentral:rRNA from 1 species